rnacentral:rRNA from 1 species
UACGUAGGAUGCAAGCGUUGUUCGGAAUUACUGGGCGUAAAGAGUACGUAGGCGGUAAUGUAAGUCUGAUAUUAAAGACCAAAGCUUAACUUCGGGACUGUAUUGGAAACUGCAUUACUAGAGGACAAUAGAGGAAGUUGGAAUUCUCAGUGUAGCGGUGAAAUGCGUAGAUAUUGUGAGGAACACUAGUGGCGAAGGCGAAUCUCUGGACAGUUCCUGACGCUGAGGCACGAAGGCCAGGGGGAGCAAACGGG